ACCCGGCCCCAGCAGGUAUUUUUAAAGAAAUUGACAUACUGCUUCUAAGACUUAUCUGGAAAUGCAAACAAUCUAGAAUAGCUAGAAAAUUUUAGAAAAGAAGAGCCAAGUUGGAAAAUGUAUUCCUCCUGACUUUAGUAUUUACUAUAAAGCCACAGUAAUCAAAACAAUGCGGUUCUUGGUAAGGAGAGACAAUAGAUCAAUGGAAUAGAAUAGAGUCCAGAAAUAAACUCAUGCAUAGAUGGUCAACUGAUUUUUGGCCAAAACACCAAUUCAAUUCAGUGUAGAAAAUAAAAUUUGUUAGCAGGUUCUGCUAGAACAACUGAAUACUGUAUUGGAAAAAAAAUGACCCUCAAUCUCUACCUUAUGCUAUACAGGCAAAAAUUAAUUCAAGAUGGAUCAUAACGUAAACAUGAAAUUCAGAACCAUAAACACUCUAGAAGAUGGAAGAUAUCUUCCUGACCUUGGGGUGAAAAACCUGAGGCAUGAUGACUUAUUCCAGUUGGCACAGCUAGCAAAUGGGUCAGACAGCACUCCAACCACCACACUGCCCUCUGGUCCGUCCCUGCUACCUCUGGCUAUUUUAGGAGGGCCACAUGGUGCCCCAGAAAGAGCACCCAAGCCAGAACCUCUCUGAGAUGUAGGGCCUGGUGUUCCAGCCACACACUUUCUGUCUGUGUAACUCGGGGAGCUCUCUCUGGGAAACUGCCCCUUGCUUCACCCACUCCUGGCCUCCUGCUGUGCCAUUUCCAGGAAAGAAGCUACCAUGACCUCCUUCAUUGUUCAAGAACCCCAAGUUCUUGGGUCCAGCCUAAACCGUUCCUGGGACUGGAUGAAAAAUAUGUCUGUGGGCUCUGUUUUCCAUGACUGUAGGACAGGACGUCCCACCCUUUCUUAGUCCGUAACGCACCUUUGGACAUGAUGGAAUAUACGAAGGGGCCUCCACCCACAGCAUGACCAAUCCCCAGCAUCCAAAAUCGCACACAUACCAAUAUGUGCACACACACACUCACACCCACACCCAUAAAGAUUUUGCACUCCUUGAAGGUACACUAACUCACCAUUUUUAUCAUACUUAUCCCAGUGUGCCACAGUUACUGGCUUAUAUGCCUGUCUCUGCUAUCUUAUUUUAUCUGUCUCCACAACACAGCAAACUACCUGGCCUUCAAUAAAGGGCUUAUGAAUUAUUCAUGAAUCCAUUUUGCCAGGUGCCUAGCCCUGUGUCUGGCUUGAAGCAGGUGUUCCCAAGGUGUGGCAUGGCUGAGUGAAUACAAAUAAAAGGUAUACAAAAGCA